GACGAACCGUGCGAACGUUGUUCGGAAUCACUGGGCUUAAAGGGCGCGUAGGCGGGCUGUCAAGUCCGGGGUGAAAUCUUUCGGCUUAACCGGAAAAGUGCCUUGGAUACUGGCAGUCUGGAGGGAGGUAGGGGCAUGUGGAACUUCCGGUGGAGCGGUGAAAUGCGUUGAUAUCGGAAGGAACGCCGGUGGCGAAAGCGACGUGCUGGACCUCUUCUGACGCUGAGGCGCGAAAGCUAGGGGAGCGAACGGG
rnacentral:rRNA from 1 species